CAUUUUGUCUGAGCGGUGGUGGUCGCAGCUCUAUCGCAUUUUUAUGUUUCUGGCGAGAGGAGAGCCGAGGCUUCAUCCCAUAGAUUCAUUUUAGUGCGGCACCUAUCCGCCGUUCACUCCAGGACAGCACCUAGUGAAGGUCGGAGGAGUCGCGGACUUGUCAAAAAGGUCGGUUGGAAGCUGUGGUUGUCCGAGUGACUGGGGGAUGGCGCAGCUUUAGCGGCACCGGCACCGGAAGUGGACGGGCCGCGCGGCGGCCAUGGCAAAUUGGUCUGAAGAAAACAAGACUUUCAGUGACAUAUCCUAAGUAUUACUGAGAAUAAACCUCAUUUUGUGGGAAAAUGAAGGAAUAUGUUCCAGUUUUAAAAGACCUGGAUCUGCAAUUGAAAAUUGUAUUUCUGGUCCCUUUAUGAAUGAUGGAAAUAGAAGCAAAUGGAUAGGCUUAUCAGAUAAGUGCUUUAAUAGUCUAAAUAUAUUUUAUUAUUUGUAAUCUCUAAACCAAAACUUUGUUCUUUAAAACAUUUUUUAUUUCUCUUUUUAGGUAAUACCAAGAAGGUUUACAGUAAUAAGGUACUGGAUUUUUUUUUUUUUUUUAAGAUUUUUAUGUACUUGAGAGAGGCUAG